UACGUAGGUGGCAAGCGUUGUCCGGAUUUACUGGGCGUAAAGGGCUCGUAGGCGGCCAACUAAGUCGGAUGUGAAAUCCCCAGGCUUAACCUGGGAACUGCAUCCGAUACUGGAUGGCUUGAAUCCGGGAGAGGGAUGCGGAAUUCCAGGUGUAGCGGUGAAAUGCGUAGAUAUCUGGAGGAACACCGGUGGCGAAGGCGGCAUCCUGGACCGGCAUUGACGCUGAGGAGCGAAAGCCAGGGGAGCAAACGGGG
rnacentral:rRNA from 1 species